ensembl:lncRNA MIR3681HG MIR3681 host gene
AAAGAAGAGAAUAGUUUUAAUAGGAAGAGACCAGAGAGACCAGAGACCAGAGCUGAGUACUUCUCAGAAGUGAAUGUCAACUUCCUGAUGUUUAUACUCAAGGAGAAUGAGGUUUGGAGAUCUGAGUAGUUUACUGAAGGCACUCACAUUGAAAGAUUUUAUGAAGCUGAAAUUCAAAUCUAGAUGUGCCCCAUCCAAAGACCACCCUCUUUAUACAGCAACAUGCUGCUUCCCCUGGAUCAAGAAACACAAGGAGCCUUCAUCUACCACAUAAGAAUUGCAGCAAACCCUGCAGCUAUCCUGAAGCUGCCAUGCUGAAAAGGCCAAUUGGGAGACCACAUAGAGACCGAGAGAGACUUCCAAGGACUCCAGCCAAUCCUGGGCCCCAGCAGUUUGAAUCUCCCAGCAAUGCCACCAUACAGGAGAGGGAGCAAAUACUCAGAAGAUUCAAGUGCCAGCUGCAUGGGUUGAUACCUACAUAAAAGGCAUUGGCAUUAUUCACAAGAGCCAAGAUAUGGAAAUAACCUGUGUCCAUUGACAGACGAAUAGAUGAGGGAAACGUGGCAUAUACACACAGUGGAAUAUUAUUCGGAAUUAAAAAAAGAAGGAAAUCCUGAAUCCUGCUAUUUCUGACAACAUGAGACUGCAGGACGUUAUGAAAAUGGCCACAUCAUGCUCUUCUAGAACUUUCUCAUCCCUCAGUCAAGAGGUGGAGCCUAUUUACCCUUGACCUUGAAAUUGAUCAGGACUUUGUCACUGCCUUGCUCUUAACAUCACCAUGCUGGAGAAAUAGCAUGGCAAGGCCAGCUGGUGAUAGAGAAAGAUGCCUAAGGAGCUCCAGCUGCUAUUUUCCCUGGAUUUUUGAGUCUUCCCAGUCCAGCCAGACAUAUGACUGGGCAAAACCCUCAGGUAACUACAGCCUUAUCCACUGUCUGACUAUCACAAAAUGAGAGACCUUGGGUGAGGACCACCUACCUGAGCCCAGUCAUCCUGCAGAGAUGCGAGAAAAAUAAGAAUGUCAUUAUUGUUAUUUUAAAAUCACUGAGUUUGGGUUAAUUUGUAUGCAGCAAUAGAUAACUGGGACACAAAGAUAGACUGUAAAAAAAUAAAGAGGGAAUGGUUAAGCUAAAAA